GGAUGUGAAGAUGGCUGGCUGUGACACCAAAUGCUCCAUGAUGGCCAGGGUUGAAUUCCCUGAUCUGUAUUCUAUAGUGGCGGCCCCUCUUUCACNGUGACUCCAUGUAUGUCCCUCCCAAAGCGGUGUCCUCUUCAUGCAGUGUACACUUGCCAAAGGAGAUGACUUUCCCUGAUAGAAGAGGACUGGUCUUGGGUCAAAGAUAUAUAAGCAGCUAGAACCUCAAGAAAGAAAGAGAAGAAAGAAAAGGAAGACUAAAUAUGAAGGUGGAGUUCAAUUAUACUACAAAUU
rnacentral:snRNA from 1 species